UACGUAGGGUGCGAGCGUUAAUCGGAAUUACUGGGCGUAAAGCGUGCGCAGGCGGUUCGCCAAGUCAGGUGUGAAAUCCCCGGGCUCAACCUGGGAACUGCACUUGUGACUGCACAGCUGGAGUGCGGCAGAGGGGGAUGGAAUUCCGCGUGUAGCAGUGAAAUGCGUAGAUAUCGGAAGGAACAUCAGUGGCGAAAGCGACUUCCUGGACCAAUACUGACGCUCAUGUGCGAAAGCGUGGGGAGCAAACAGG
rnacentral:rRNA from 1 species